rnacentral:misc_RNA from 1 species
AAGUCGUAACAAGGUUUCCGUAGGUGAACCUGCGGAAGGAUCAUUACAGAGUUUUGGGGGGUUGUUUGGAUAACACCGACAACAUACCACAUUUGCGCUUGUUUUGUUUCACAGAGUAACAGUCACAUAUUUAUAUACAACUUUUAACAAUGGAUCUCUGGGCUCUU